UUUAAAGGGAAGCUCUCAAAACAGCCUAAUAAAAUAAACAAGCUACAGCUGAGGUGGAGGAUUCAUGGUGAGCUGCUCAGGUAUUUGUGACUGUGCAUGGAAAUGACUGGAGCUGCAUUUGGGAAAGGAACCUCUCUGACAGGAGACUAAGACAAGCAAAUGGGUUUUUGCUUCUGCUGCCCUUGCUGUGUGAGAUACAGAAGAGGAAAAAGAGAAGUGCAGGUUUCAAGGUGUAGCUCAUCUCUGCCCUCCUGGCAUCAAAGCCCAGGAAAUCUUCCUUAGGACCUUUUAAACCAGCAGAGCUACUUCUACUUCAUGUAAUCCUAUGGUAGUGCAAGAAAAGGGCCAAAAGGAGGGCAGGAGUACUCAGGACUGUAACUACCCAAUGUACAUCCCAUUUCCUCUUGCUCCAGUGAUGCUCCAGGAGGCAUCUCCAAUUUGGGAUUAAGGAACCCACCCGAGGGUGGUAAGGAUCUAAAGCACUUGGACAUUCUUCCCAGUUUUGGGACUGGCUGAGGACUUUUGGCAUGAAGAGAAGGCCUGUGUGGCUCCAGCAGCUCAGCUCCCUCCCAGCCCCAGCAGGGCAGCCCAGCUGGAGGAUCCUUGGUGGAAGCAUCAAUGAGAUGCUCUUUUUCAGUGCCUGACCUUUUCCCCUCCCUCUGCAGCGAUGGUUUGAGGGCCUAAUGAUCAGAAGCCACCUAAAGUACCCCUGGGGCAGGUUGUCAGGAAAAGUGCUGUUACAAUGAGGGGAAAAAACCAAACACCCCCAAGGCAGCAUUGAUGUUGCUGGUUUUAUGUGUUUGUAAGUAGUUCAGAGGGGGUGAUUGCUGAUUAAGUACCCAGUAUUAACUGCUCUUAAUCACUGCUCUGGAGCCUAAUGGAACUCUUGUUUGCACAUAACCAUGCCUUGUAGCUGUCUUUAGCACACUUGACAGAUGUGCUUAUUGCCAUCUUUACUGUGUAUGUGUAAUGGGCUUUUUAAUUAUUGAUUCAUCAUUACUUCUUUAUAAACUACUUAUACAUGU